GACAGAGGCCUCGAGCGUUAGGCGGAAUCACUGGGCUUAAAGCGUGUGUAGGCGGGCCCGUAAGUGUCUUGUGAAAUCCCACGGCUCAACCGUGGAACUGCUGGGCAUACUGCGGGUCUUGGGCCAACUAGGGGCAGCCGGAACAAGCGGUGGAGCGGUGAAAUGCGUAGAUAUCGCUUGGAACGCCGAAGGUGAAACAGGA
rnacentral:rRNA from 1 species